UCUUCUCAUAUCAACUGAUUGGCCGUUCUGAGAUUAUACUGUCAAAACUUGAUCUAGACAAUACUAGCGAAAGGACAUGCGUGACUUUUGAU
rnacentral:ncRNA from 18 species